UCAAGCCUCUGCAGCCCUGGUGCUGGUC
rnacentral:piRNA from 1 species